AAGCUUGAGUUUAAACAACUUUCCAGAUUUAAAAUUUUGAAGGAAGACAUUUAGAACAAUAAACCAAUAAAUGGAUUAACAUGCGUAAUAAAUCUCAAAAGAGAAAUGAAGAAGUAUGUUGAAACAAGAAAUCAUAAAUAAAUAUAAUAAUUUAGAAUUUAUUAAGUUUGUGGUUAAAAAAGUGAAGAACAAUAGGUUUCUUUGUAACAGAGCCAAAGUAUAGAUAUAAAAAUAUCAAACUGAAUGACGUGUCGUUGGUUUAACGUUAAAAAACCCGAGGUUUAAUAAAGCAACAAAAAUAGACCAGGUGAUAAUAAAGAAAAUGAGAAAGUAAAAAAUAAUAAAAAGAAGACACGGGGAGAAGUAAAGGUAAUAAAAGAGAACCGAUUGGCCAGCGGCUCGUGUGAGGUAACACGCUUAGCCACCCCUGCUGCUGAUGCUUUAGCUUUAGCUGGUUCGUUUGUCCCCGGGGCCCUGAAUGCGGUCAAGAAUAUAUUAAGAAGUGGGGGAUUACCACCUGCUCACCCGCUUGGCAUUGGAAUUGAACAAAGUGGAGGCGGAAGGCGACCCGAGACUCCAAAAGAGCAAAUGAGAGGCCAGAUUACCAGUCCACUGUCACGAAUAAAGAAGACUAACUGGAGAAAGAGUAAGAGACCGGGAUUGAAGGCUCGGGGGACCUGAGUAAUGUAUAAAAUAAUAUAUAUAUAUAUAUAUAUAAAUGUAAGAGUAGAGACGUUGCGGCAGCUGCUGCCCGCCAAAACGAGAAACUGAAAUUAAGGCCGGCUGCUAGCCGAUAGCCUGCUGGCCCGCAGGUGUACAUGCGUUUCAUGUAAAUAAGCAUCUACUUGGACUUUGGGCUAUCAAAUCAACUGGGCAUGCAGAACAAUUUUAAUGUUUUAAGAACACGGUUACGUGAUAAAAAAUUCACCAAAACAAUUACCUGACUAGCAACAUCAGCGCAGCUUCUGGUCAACUGUCCAGCACGUUCUUUGACAGCAGUAAUGUCAUCACGAACAGAUCCUAGAGAAGCUUCAAUUCUGGUG